rnacentral:rRNA from 1 species
GUUGGUGGAGUGAUUUGUCUGGUUAAUUCCGAUAACGAACGAGACUCUGUCCUGCUAAAUAGUUUCGACGUCUUUUUUGCGUCGGAAAUUCUUCUUAGAGGGACUGGCGGCGUCUAGCCGCACGAGAUUGAGCAAUAACAGG